rnacentral:rRNA from 1 species
UAACCUGCCCAAGAGAUCGGGAUAACACCUGGAAACAGAUGCUAAUACCGGAUAACAACAGAUGAUGCCUAUCAACUGUUUAAAAGAUGGUUCUGCUAUCACUCUUGGAUGGACCUGCGGUGCAUUAGCUAGUUGGUAGGGUAACGGCCUACCAAGGCGAUGAUGCAUAGCCGAGUUGAGAGACUGAUAGGCCACAUUGGGACUGAGACACGGCCCAAACUCCUACGGGAGGCAGCAGUG